rnacentral:rRNA from 1 species
GCACUUGGAGGACGAAUAGCUAUUGCUAAUUGCACCUAUAAACCGUGGGUGCGAAAUUGACUAUGUCAAAUAAAGUUCUAAGCAGAAAUAUGAUAAUGACAUUGUCUGCUUAUGUGUCUUGACCAAAUUACGUGCCAGCAGUCGCGGUAAUACGUAGAAGACUAGUGUUAUUCAUCUUUAAUAGGUUUAAAGGGUACCUAGACGGUAAAUAAAGCUUUAGGGGACUAAUUUACUAGAGUUACUUGUGAGGGGGUUUUAAAGUACUAAUGGUGUAGAGAUGAAAUUCUGUGAUACCUCUUUUCGAAAGAAAAAUCAUGGCACAGGUAUAGGCGAAGGCAUCCCCUUAUGCGAUAACUGACGUUGAAGGACGAAGGCUCUUUAUCGCGAACAGGAUUAGGUACCCCAGUAGUCGGAGCAGAAAAUGAUGAAUGUCAUAGAUUAGAUCCCUAUGAUUUAUUCUAUAAAUGAAAGUGUAAGCAUUCCACCUCAAGAGUAAUUUGGCAACAUUGGAACUGAAAUCAUUAGACCGUUUCUGAAACCAGUAGUGAAGUAUGUUGUUUAAUUUGAUAAUCCGCAAAAAACCUUACCACAGUUUGAAUAUUUAGACUUUUUUUACAAUUAAAGUGAAACCACAAAUAAAGUGAAAUCACAAUUAAAGUGAAAUGAUAUAUUUACAAGCGUUGCACGGCUGUCUUCAGUUAAUGUCGUGAGAUUUUGGUUAGUUCCAUUAAAUUAACGUAAACCCUUACUUUAUUUUUAUAUAAAGUUGUUCUCCGCUAUAUUGGAUAAGAUAACAGGGGCUAAGAC